ACGGAAGGCAGCAGUGGGGAAUAUUGGGCAAUGGGGGAAACCCUGACCCAGCAACGCCGCGUGAAGGAAGAAGGCUUUCGGGUUGUAAACUUCUUUUACCAGGGACGAAGAACGUGACGGUACCUGGAGAAAAAGCCACGGCUAACUACGUGCCAGCAGCCGCGGUAAUACGUAGGGAGCAAGCGUUAUCCGGAUUUACUGGGUGUAAAGGGCGUGUAGGCGGGACAUCAAGUCAGAUGUGAAAGCACGAGGCUCAACUUCGUGUCUGCAUUUGAAACUGACGUUCUUGAGUGUUGGAGAGGCUAACGGAACUCCUAGUGUAGCGGUGAAAUGCGUAGAUAUUAGGAAGAACACCAGUGGCGAAGGCGGUUAGCUGGACAAUAACUGACGCUGAGGCGCGAAAGCGUGGGUAGCAAACAGGAUUAGAUACCCUGGUA
rnacentral:rRNA from 1 species